rnacentral:rRNA from 1 species
UACGUAGGGUGCGAGCGUUGUCCGGAAUUACUGGGCGUAAAGGGCGCGUAGGCGGCCUGUUAAGUCGAACGUGAAAUCCCUGGGCUCAACCCAGGAACUGCGUCCGAUACUGGCAGGCUUGAAUUCGGGAGAGGGAUGCGGAAUUCCAGGUGUAGCGGUGAAAUGCGUAGAUAUCUGGAGGAACACCGGUGGCGAAGGCGGCAUCCUGGACCGAGAUUGACGCUGAGGCGCGAAAGCCAGGGGAGCAAACGGG